rnacentral:rRNA from 1 species
AAGGAAGCACACUUCAGUCAUAGAUUAAGCCAUGCAAGUGUUAGUUCAGGUAACGAAACUGCGAACAGCUCAUUAACACACUCAGCACCUAAUUGAUAGCGACUAUUAAGUUUUAUAUGGAUAGCAGGAGUAAUUCUCGUGCUAAUACAUGCAAUAGUUUCAUCAGAAAUGGAUUAUGAUGAAAAAGUUAACCUUAAGGUUUGUCAUUUGGUUGAGUGACCUAUCAGCCAGUACUUAGGAUCUUUACCUAGGUAAGCUAUUACGGGUAACGGGCGGUGACCGUCGGACUGCCGGAGAAGGCGCCUGAGAGAUAGCGACUAUGCCUACGGGCAGCAGCAGGCGCGAAACUUACCCACUCGAGAUACUCGGAGGUGGUGAUGACUAGUUUUAAAUUGAAAUUUAUUUCAUAUUAAAUAGGAUGAUAUGCAAAUUUCACCGUGCAAUCUAGCAGAGGGCCAGUCUGGUGCCAGCAGCUGCGGUAAUUCCAGCUCUGCAAGUUUGCUCCCAUAUUGCUGCAGUUAAAACGCCCGUAGUCAGAACUCAUAUGAAGAGGGAAUUUUCCGUUCACUGCGAAUAAAUCAGGACGCUUAGAGUGUGCCUACAUGAAUGACUUAGCGUAGUAUGAAAUAUUUGCUGUUCGAAGCAAGAUCAAAGAGAGCCAUUGGGGGUAGUUAUAUUCCAUGUCGAGCGGUGGAAUGCAUUGACACAUGGGAGAUGAACAAAAGCGAAAGCAAUUACCUAGAGGGUUUCUAUCGAUCAAGGGCGAGAGUAGGAGUAUCCAACCGGAUUAGAGACCCGGGUAGUUCCUACUGUAAACGAUGUCGACUGGGGAUUGGUUUUUUAUAAAAUCAGCACCCUUAGAGAAAUUAUAGUUUUUAGACUCUGGGGGAACUACGAUCGCAAGACUGAAACUUGAAGGAAUUGACGGAAGGGCACACAAGAGGUGGAGCCUGUGGCUUAAUUUGAAUCAACACGGGGAAACUUACCAGGACAAGAUAAUUUGGUGACUGACAGUCUAAAGGUCUUUCAGGAUAUAUUUUUGGGUGGUGCAUGGUCGUUGGUGGUGCGUGGGUUGACCUGUCUAGCGUUGAUUCAGAUAACGAGCGAGAUUACCGCCAAAUAUUAGAAAAUUUCAGCAACCUGAAAAUAACUUUAUUUGGGACUGCCUGGCUUAGAACAGGAGGAAGGGGGUAGCAAUAACAGGUCCGUGAUGUCCUUUAGAUGCCCUGGGCUGCACGCGUGCUACAAUGUGAAUUUCAAAUGGAAUCUGCGAUUCUGACAAGAAAAGCUACUCCAUAAUCAUUCACGUAGUUGGGAUUGAUGGUUGUAAUCAUCAUCAUGAACUAGGAAUCCCUUGUAAAUGUGCGUCAACAUCACACGUUGAAUACGUCCCUGCCCUUUGUACACACCGCCCGUCGCUCCUACCGAUUGGAUGACCUGGUGAAAAUGUCAGACUUCGCGGAGAAAGGCAUUUAAAUCAUGUUAUUUAGAGGAAGGAGAAGUCGUAACAAGGUAUCG